rnacentral:rRNA from 1 species
AUCAGCUGGAUGGUGGGGUAACGGCCUACCAUGGCGAUGACGGGUAGCUGGUCUGAGAGGACGAUCAGCCACACGGGGACUGAGACACGGCCCCGACUCCUACGGGAGGCAGCAGCAAGGAAUUUUCCGCAAUGGGCGAAAGCCUGACGGAGCGACGCCGCGUGGGGGAAGACGCUUUUCGGAGUGUAAACCCCUUUUCUGGGGGAUGAAGACAGUGACAGUACCCCAGGAAGAAGGACCGGCUAACUACGUGCCAGCAGCCGCGGUAAGACGUAGGGUCCGAGCGUUGUCCGGAGUUACUGGGCGUAAAGGGCGCGUAGGCGGCUUCUUGCGUCACACGUGAAAGCCCCCGGCUCAACCGGGGAGGGUCGUGUGAAACGGGGGAGCUGGAGGCAGCGAGAGGCUGGUGGAAUUCCCGGAGUAGUGGUGAAAUGCGUAGAGAUCGGGAGGAACACCGGUGGCGAAGGCGGCCAGCUGGCGCUGACCUGACGCUGAGGCGCGAAGGCGUGGGGAGCGAACGGGAUUAGAUACCCCGGUAGUCCACGCAGU